UUCGCCCUUUUCCGGUUGAUCCCGCCGGACCUGACUGCUAUCGGAUUGAUACUAAGCCAUGCGAGUCAUUGUAGCAAUACAAGGCAUACGGCUCAGUAACGCGUAGUCAACCUAACCUAUGGACGGGAAUAACCUCGGGAAACUGAGAAUAAUGCCCGAUAGAACACUAUACCUGGAAUGGUUUGUGUUCCAAAUGAUUUAUCGCCGUAGGAUGGGACUGCGGCCUAUCAGUUUGUUGGUGAGGUAAUGGCCCACCAAGACUAUUACAGGUACGGGCUCUGAGAGGAGUAGCCCGGAGAUGGGUACUGAGACACGGACCCAGGCCCUAUGGGGCGCAGCAGGCGAGAAAACUUUGCAAUGUGCGAAAGCACGACAAGGUUAAUCCGAGUGAUUUGUGCUAAACGAAUCUUUUGUUAGUUCUAGAAAUACUAACGAAUAAGGGGUGGACAAGUUCUGGUGUCAGCCGCCGCGGUAAAACCAGCACCUCAAGUGGUCAGGAUGAUUAUUGGGCCUAAAGCAUCCGUAG
rnacentral:rRNA from 1 species